AUGGGCUUCGGCCACACAGUGCGGACCUUCUGGUUCACCACCCCUCCCAAGCCCGGCCCGGACGUGCCCUUCCGGCUAGGCCUCAUCGGCGACCUGGGCCAGACGUCUGACUCCAACAGCAGACUGACCCACUACGAGGCCACGGGGGGUGACGCCGUGCUCUUCAUGGGCGACCUCUCCUACGCCGACAAACACCCCCUCCACGACAACAAUCGUUGGGACACGUGGGGCCGCUUCUCCGAGCGCAGCGUCGCCUACCAACCAUGGAUCUGGGUCACCGGCAACCACGAGGUCGACUAUGCACCGGAGCUCGGCGAGACGGCGCCGUUCAAGCCAUUCAGUCAUCGGUACUCGACGCCGCACCAGUCGAGCGGCUCGCCGGAGCCCUACUGGUACUCGGUGAAGCUCGCGUCCGCGCACAUCAUCAUACUGUCCUCCUACUCCGCGUUCGGCAAGUACACGCCGCAGUACAAGUGGCUGGAGGCGGAGCUGAAGCGCGUGAACCGGAGCGAGACGCCGUGGCUGAUCGUGGCAUCGCACUCGCCGUGGUACAACAGCUACAACUUCCACUACAUGGAGGGCGAACCGAUGCGUGUGCAGUUCGAGCAGUGGGCCGUCGACGCCAGGGUCGACCUCGUCUUCGCCGGGCACGUGCACGCGUAUGAGCGCAGCCACCGGGUGUCCAACAUCAAGUACAACAUCACAGACGGGAGGUGCAAGCCGGUGCGGGACCGCCGCGCGCCUGUGUACAUGACCAUCGGCGACGGCGGCAACAUCGAGGGGCUUGCCGACAGCAUGACGGAGCCGCAACCGAGCUACUCGGCGUUCCGGGAGGCUAGCUUUGGGCAUGCCGUGCUGGACAUCAAGAACCGCACGCACGCCUACUACGCUUGGUACCGCAACGCCGACGGCGUCAAGGUUGAUGCCGACACCGUGUGGUUCACCAACCGCUACUACAUGCCCAACCACGACGACUCCCGUUGA
rnacentral:rRNA from 1 species